rnacentral:lncRNA from 1 species
AGCGGAAAUGGCUCCGAGAGGCUUUGACGCAUGUGUACCUUUUUAGUGGCGGUAUCUCGGCCGGGGAUUUUCGGGCUCCAGUGGAGGUGGCUAUGCUCACCCCAUCUCCCUUGAGAGGCACAGAAGGUUAGAGAUGUGUGCGAGGAACGGCCAGGUCCAGCGUCUCCUCGUUGCUGCCCCUUGAGCCCGGGACCGGCGCCAAUGCGCGCCCGGGUUCUUGGGUUCUUUCGUCCCGCAGACCUGCCUUGGUGUGGCGUCCCUGGGCCGUAGCUUCCGAAGGCUGCAGCCGACCUGGUCGGGGUCCUCUAGCCCGCCUUCCCCUUCCCCCAUUGACAGAUGGAGAAACUGAGGCCCAGGCCAAAAAAUAUCUCACUAGAGGGCUCACCGCCAUUUCCUGGAAAAAUUGGGGCUGGGACUCAACGGACGCUCGUCCAGCAGCAGCGCGGAGCUCCGAAGUAAAGGCGCCCGUGACCGAGUGCUUUGUCCUUACAAGCGUGGUGUUCUUGAAUGCUUCCAGGCGCCUUAUGAGGCCCCCGAUGUACAAUCUGUGCUUAACUAAACCCCACUGUCUUCCAGGGUCAGGUUGGCCAUCCGCAGGCGUAGUUGCUAGGAAGGUUUGACAGAUGUCCGCCUGUUGAUUCAGACGUUCCCAGGAUUUGGAGCAAGAAGAGCAAGGAAGGCCAGGCGCGGUGGCUCACGUUUGUAAUCCCAGCACUUUGGGAGGCCGAGGCGGGCGGAUCACGAGGUCAGGAGUUCGAGACCAGCCUGGCCAGCAUGGUGAAACCCCGUCUCUACUAAAAAUACAAAAGAAAAUUAGCCGGGUGUGGUGGCACAUGCCUGUAGUCCCACCUACUUGGGAGGCUGAGGCAGGAGAAUUGUUUGACCUGGCAGGCGGAGGUUGCAGUGAGCCGAGAUUGCGCCACUGCACUCCAGUCUGGGCGACAGAGCGAGACUCUGUCUCAGAAAAAAAAAAGAGCAAGGAGGUGUUGAAAAUGGGUUUCCUGGCUGGGCGUGGUGGCUCACGCUUGUAAUCCCAGCACUUUGGGAAGCUGAGGUGGGCGGAUCACUUGAGGUCAGGAGUUUGAGACCAGCCUGGCCAACAUGGUGAAACACCGUCUCCACUAAAAAUAGAAAAAUUAACUGGGUGUGGUGGAGGGCGCCUGUAAUCCCAGCUAAUCAGGAAGCUGAGACAGGAGGAUCGCUUGAACCCAGGAGGCGGAGGUUGCAGUGAGCCGAGAUUGCUCCAUUGCACUCCAGCCUGGGCGAUAGAGUGAGACUCAGCCUCAAAAAAAAAAAAAAAAAAAAAUUCGCCAGGUGUGGUGGUGUGCGCCUAUAAUCCCAGCUACUCAGGAGGCAGAGGCACAAGAAUGGCUUGAAUCACUUGAACCUGGGAGGCAGAGGUUACAAUGAGCCGAGAUGGCACCACUGCACUCCAGCCUGGGCGACAGAGCGAGACUCCGACUUCCCAUCUUAAAAAAAAAAAAAAAAAAAAAAAAGAAGUGUAAAGAUGUGAUUAUGUGGCAGGGGGUAAGGGUUAAAAAGAAAACAAGAACAAGUUUUCCUCUGCUUAGCCAGCUUACUUCAAGGACAGUUAUAACACUGAAAAGUCGAGGCCAAAGGAAUGGGCUCCAGACAGCCUCCUCCGGAGCAAAGUUGAAAAGAAAAAUUCCUUUACUGUCUCUCCUUUUCUGAACCAUUAAAUAUGACUGUUUGCCAAUGGUUGUAUUUAGUAAGAUUUGUAGACUCUGUUUUUCUUUUGACACAGCUGCAAGGCCAACAGCUGUGCAAAGCCACAAGUUAUGCUAAGUCAGCAGUUAUGCUAUAGAUUACAUGACCUGUGACUGUAUCAUUAACUGCUUUUGUUUUGCUUCUGUAAGUUUGCCUAUAAAAACCACACUCAGUCUUUGUUCAAUGGUCAGCUUUUCAGAUACAAAUCCACUGAGCCGGUGUACAUCUAAAUAAAUCCUCCUGUUUCCCGUGUCA